UUCCCCUCCCUUGCUCUCUGUUGCAUUAAUAGCAGAGAUGGCAUUAAAGUAACUUUAUCUCCUUGGUGCACACAUACACAAACUCAAUGGCGGGUAGUGUUAUGAGGCUUAUUGCCGAGUGCGUAAUGACUGCUUCUUUUUUGGAUGAAUGAAUUCAGUGGAUGACAGGCUAAGCUAAUUACACUGGCAUGGAAGCAGGGCCCACGGGAGAGAGAUUGUCCAGCCUUUCUCUGGACACCAUGUGAGGAAGGCCAUGCAAACCCUCCAGCUUUGCCCAUCCAGGACUGCAUGGCCUCAGGUAUGUAGGAGAGGUAGCAGGGUGCUUUCUGGUGGUGCAGACACAGACUCCGUUGCUUCAGGUGAGCCUCAUGAAAUCCCACUUGCAGGGGGAAGUUCUGCAAAACAGGAGCUGGGGCUUGGAGAGACUGCAGCUGGCAGCCAUGGGAACAUUUAGACCUUUGUCUUCCGUCAGGGUGAGUUUAGGCACUAGACUUGAGAAAGCAGAGAAAAGCUGACAAUGUGUAGCAUGGUGCCUUGGGGUUUGGUACUGCACACAGUUAGAGCAGCCAGAGCAUGGGCUCACUGGGCACCCUGAGGACACCUUGCCUCGUUGCCACACAGGUCAAGGAGGGAGACCGAGCCGCCAAAGCUGGCUGUGGCCCUGAGAAAAGCCAAUCAAGACAGGCUGCAUUGUGCCAUGAUGCGGUGACCGAGCACAGGGAGCAGGCUGGGGACAGCUGCCAGCAGCCGGGGUUAAAGGCAGC